rnacentral:rRNA from 1 species
CAUGCCGUAAACGUUGGGCACUAGGUGUGGGGCUCAUUCCACGAGCUCCGUGCCGCAGCAAACGCAUUAAGUGCCCCGCCUGGGGAGUACGGCCGCAAGGCUAAAACUCAAAGGAAUUGACGGGGGCCCGCACAAGCGGCGGAGCAUGCGGAUUAAUUCGAUGCAACGCGAAGAACCUUACCAAGGCUUGACAUACACCGGAAAGGCGCAGAGAUGCGUCCCCCGCAAGGUCGGUGUACAGGUGG